UUUGUUUUCUUUCUAUUCACACAAUACGCGAGCAGAUCAGAUUUGGGGAUUUAGGGAUUGAGAAGAAGUCGCGCGGUGAUUCACUCGGACAACAAACGGAGGUAAUAGCUGUGGAUUCUUGUUUUCUUUCUUUGCAAAUAUAUAUACAUGUGUUGCGAUUGUAUUGCUCUGUAUGUUUAUCUCUACUCCAUUUGUUAUUGUAAAAGUGGAGUAAGAGGUAUUGUUGAGUGGUGUUGCAGAUGAUUGCAGCCUGCAAGAGGGUUGUGUGUGUGUUUCGAUGGGUUUGUGAAAUUGUUGUAUUUGUGUAGUUUUGUGGGUGUUCAGGUUUGGACAGAGGUAUGAAGGAGUGCGCGACCACUGUUCCGUAUAGUUGCUGUGCGCGUGUAAACAGUGUGUGGUGUGUGUAUAACUGCUCUGCACAGGUAAACAAUUACUAUGUGUAUAAACAGAGCAGGAGGUGACUCAGAGGCUGCUGGCCAUGGAGUACGUGGAUGUGAUGUGUGUACUGGUGUGUAUAACAACAUAUCGAUAUGUGUUGUCGCUCUGUGUGUGUUCUAGUAGGCUGUGUGAUUGAUGUGUGUGUGAGUGUAAACAGUCCGUGUAGGUUUGUUUGAGGUGUUAGCAGGGCAGGUGUGGGUUAGCUGAAAAUAAAUAGGAAGGCUGAUCUAAUUCUAUUGAUUAGGCCGUCUAUGGGACUAGUGUGAUGGAAACUGAUAGAGGGAGGGUUGGACGGGGGAGAGAGUGCACUAUGGUAGGGUCUGAAUUUAUACAAGAGCAACAGAGCCUGUUUGUUUAGCUUGCCUGCAACUAAAAGUCGAAAUCAUUGUGCAGGUCCAGUAAUACUUUGAGAUUGAGAAGAUAUAUUUUGUUGAUAUAACAUUAUAUUGGUGGUAACUCGUAUGCAAAAAAACAUUUUUUAUGUUUUUAUGUUUUCAGAAAUUAGGGUACACAUUUUUUUGAAACACUGCCUAAUUUUGGACUACACAUGUCAUAUUGAUAUGAGUUUAUUAAUUUAUCUUUGUUAACUAAUAUUCAAUACCUCGCCAAUAUAUAUUAGUUCACUAAUGUAGUUGACAGAAUGACAGUAGUUUAGUAGUUUUUUGGUGAAAGUCCCUCUAAAUUCUUUUAUGUGAAUGCAGGAAGCUGCGUCGUUUGUCAGAGUUAUAUUAUCCGUGGACAAUUUGAGAUUUUGUAAGCGUUUCAUUGCUGUAAAUUUUAUGUCUUCGUGUGAGUCAACUAAGAAAUAUUUCAUUUCUUUCGGCAGGUAAGUACUGUUUAGUAUCUGUCUAUAUUUCUUGAGGAUCAACAGUAGGGACUAUAGUUAGGAGUUUAUUGUUGGCAACUGUCUCUUUUGCUGUUUUAGCUUUAUUCUUAUUCUUGUCAGCGGGUAUAACAUAUGGGAAGCUACACUAAUUGUAGCUAUGCUGUCAUCUAUUUAAUUGAUUGGAUGAGGCUUAAAAGCUAACAAAAGAUUAAAAAACAAAGUGCACAAAUUGGAAGUAGAGUCGGGACUAAUAUUAUGUACUUCCAUGUUGAAAUAGUACUUGUUUUGACAUUAAACUGGUAGAUGUCAAUCCAACUUGGGAACUCAGGACUUAUAGUUAGAUCAUAAUUGCUUCAGGAACAAGCUCUCUUGGUAGAACGUCAUCACAAAAUAUCGAUUUAUGCUUUUUAAUAAUUAAAUAUCUAUAUCUAUAUUGCAAGUGUCAUGAUGCUUUUUUGCUGAUAUGGUUUACUCUGCAGAUAAUUAGCUUUUUUGUACUUUUUCCAUGUUGCAUGGCUGGUAGUAUGGUAAGAUCUUGCUACUUUUUUACGGCAAAAAAAGGCAAUGAAUGUUUUCCACAGUAGACCCUUUAAUGUUAUUACUUGCCAAUAAACCAACAACAAAAGUUUAUCCUUUUCACAGUAAAGUAGAUAAUGUAUUUUUAGAUAUUGUGUGACUCGCUACUUUAAGUAUGUUAGAAAAUAUUUUAUCUAUAUGCAAAUAUAGCACUGCGCACACCAGUACAACCCUGAACUGUGUUUAUCUUUUCUGAAGUAGUGUAUAUUAAAAUGAAGUUUAUCUUUUGAAAGAUAUGAUUAGAAUGGUUGACCUUGGUCCUUUCAAGCACAGUAAUUCUAGUGAAGUGAAAAUUCUUAAGCUGAUAAUGCUCAGCAUAUAGGAGGCCGGGUUCUCUUUCUACGACCCUUUUAGAAUAUAUGAUAAAGUCAAAGAAAGGAAUGAAGAGAUGACGCAUUAUAGUCCAAAUGCCAGUUGUGUAAAUGAAUAUAGGACAUUUAUUUUGCUUAUUUAGAUUUUGCUCCGGCUAUCAAGUUGGUUUGUUCUUUUUUUAUAUUAUAUAUUUUUAUUACCUAAGUGACAAAAUUGUUUCUGGAUAUAUUAUUGUUUACUUGCAAUUUCUUUUCUUCUUUUUUUGCAGUAUCAGAUGUGCCUACAUAUAUAGGUUAUCUAGAUUGAAGUUGGACAGUGGCCUUGCGAAAUCUUAUGAGGGCUUUACAAAGACCAAUCAUCUACUUGGCUCUUCAAACUCCACUUUGAGAUUUGAUGGUGGUUUGACAUUACUGAAAUUUCAACAUUUAGAUUCAUGUUCAGAGAAUUUUUCUGGUAUAUAACAAUGCUACUUUUGUAAUAAUUGUAGUGAUUUUAAUAAUUGUACGAGAUAGAUGUGCAUUAUUUUACAUUAAUUAGACUAUUUUCAUUUAGUUUAUUAGUUCUUAUUUGUUAAUGUGAUAAAUGCUUGUAAUAUAUUUGUCAUUUGUUAUGGUUCAUUUGUGGUUGUGGUUUGUUAUA
rnacentral:lncRNA from 1 species